rnacentral:rRNA from 1 species
UACGUAGGGGGCUAGCGUUAUCCGGAAUUACUGGGCGUAAAGGGUGCGUAGGUGGUUUCUUAAGUCAGAGGUGAAAGGCUACGGCUCAACCGUAGUAAGCCUUUGAGACUGGGGAACUUGAGUGCAGGAGAGGAGAGUGGAAUUCCUAGUGUAGCGGUGAAAUGCGUAGAUAUUAGGAGGAACACCAGUUGCGAAGGCGGCUCUCUGGACUGUAACUGACACUGAGGCACGAAAGCGUGGGGAGCAAACAGG